rnacentral:rRNA from 1 species
UAGGGAAUCUUAGACAAUGGGCGCAAGCCUGAUCUAGCCAUGCCGCGUGGAGUGAAGAAGGCCUUAGGGUCGUAAAGCUCUUUCGCCAGGGAUGAUAAUGACAGUACCUGGUAAAGAAACCCCGGCUAACUCCGUGCCAGCAGCCGCGGUAAUACGGAGGGGGUUAGCGUUGUUCGGAAUUACUGGGCGUAAAGCGCACGUAGGCGGAUUAGAAAGUUAGAGGUGAAAUCCCAGGGCUCAACCCUGGAACUGCCUUUAAAACUCCUAGUCUUGAGUUCGAGAGAGGUGAGUGGAAUUCCAAGUGUAGAGGUGAAAUUCGUAGAUAUUGGGAGGAACACCAGUGGCGAAGGCGGCUCUCUGGCUCGAUACUGACGCUGAGGUGCGAAAGUGUGGGGAGCAAAGCAGGAUUAGAUACCCCUGGUAUGUCCAGCAGCCGUAAACCGAUGAAUGCCAGUCGUUCGGGUAGUAUACUAUUCAGGUGACACACCUAAACGGAUUAAGCAU